CGCGCGCCCGUGGAGCGCUGCCUGUGCGUUUCCGUGUGGGGAGCCCUCUGUGCGGUCCCCGCGGGGAGCGGCGGGGGCUGGCUGAGGCGCCCAGCCCUCGGGGCGAGGCGGGACGGGCCGGGCCUCGUAGCGGGGGCGGCCCCGCGUGGCCGUGGCCGUGGCCGUGGCCCCCGAAGCAGCGCGGCCCGCUGGUUUGCAGUGCGCGUCCGUGCGUCUGUCCGUACGAGCUCUCUUCUCCCGCGCCCUGGGCGGUGUGUUCGUCGUGCUUUCUCUCAGGCGACGUUUGCACGGCAUCGGGGAGUUGGGACGUGUAAACCCAAUUUUACGGCUGCAUAGGUUCUUUUUCGCAAAGCCUUUUGAAACAGAUGAUCUCACUGUGGACUACCAAAAAACUGCUACCUGUAAGAAAAAGAUUUGAGUUGACGGUCCAGGGAGGUGAGUCCACAUGAUGGUGACUGGUUUCUGGAGAAACAAAUGAGGAAAGAAGAGCAGAGCACAUCUAGACCACACUAACACAAAGGCAGCACGGAGGUACCAGAAGGGAGUUUCCAGUGUUCGAGGUGCCUCUGCAAACUGCUGUCUGCCCCUUAAUGCUACUUUUCAUUUACGUGUGGCUUAGCUUAACUCAGCCCUAGCUACGCACCGCAUUUAGACAGCUAGUUAGUUGUACUGCUGUCAACAUCUGCCUUCUGGUCACGAUGUGCUGCGCACGAGUCAUCUGUUCCCAGGGAAUGAUUGGUUUUCCACUGAAACACCACCACUUGGAUACUCCUUAUUACUUUACCUUCCCGAAGAGGGGUAGGAUGUCAGCUUACACGCUGCCUUUUUCAUACAAAUAGUAAAAAAGCUAAGCUGUGGAGUAAGCACAAUAUUGCUGAGAUUCUUUUGAAGAAAAGUGCAAUAACAGCAAAGUGGGAUUCAUUUAGCGAAUACUGUAAUAUUGCAUCUCCUUCAUUUCUGUGUAUGUGAAAAGAAAGAUGGAGCAUUACUGUCAGGGAGCCCACUGCCUUACGGUAUCAUCAAUUAAUUUAAAGUUACUGUAAUUCGAGAGCUUUUUUUGCAAAAUUGAAACUGUUACAUUUAACUAGAAAAAAAAGGACCUAUUAGCAGAGGUUAUUUGAUUAUAUAUCACAAUAUUAUCUUUAUCAUUGUCUUCAACUUAUUGAGUAAAACAUUUAAGAGGCAAUUUAGAAACACCACCAUGUUUUUCUUCAUUAAUUCAAGACACCAGAGUACACUGCAUGCCCUUUCCCACCUGCAUGCAGAUAAAAUAUUUAACUCCUGUCAUGCAGGUGAAGUGUCUAUGGUUUUUUAUUCCACAAGACAGUAAUUUUAAUGGAAGAAGGUUUUUUGCAUUCCAAAGGAUGUUUUUACAGACAGCAAGGAAAGGAUGGGAGACCACAUUCUAACUUGGACGCCACACUUAGCGAAGUGCAUAAUCCUAAAAUAAUUAUGCUUUUCCAAUAUUUUAGUAUGCUUAUAAUUGAAAGCACAGGUGACGCUACAAGACGGUUCCACACCUCAAUUCAGAAGUGGCAACAGUUUUAGUAGGUCAGAGUAAAAUGUGUUUUUCUCUAAGUAUUUGCUGGUAAUACUGUGAGAUGACUCACGUUUGACCAACCAUUUUGCAUUAAUGUUCAUACAGAUUCUCUUACUUAGUGUAGCUUCGACUCUUUUUUCCUUGAAUCCUUUGCCAUAUAUGUUCAAGUCCCUGAGAUCUAAUUGACCUGCUUUGAGAAAUAAGUUGGACUAGAGACACUGAGAAAAGUGCCUAACAACUAAAUUACUUGAUGAUGCUAUGGGUGAGUUAAUCUGUUUUUGGGAAGGGAAACGAAUGUUAUUUCUUUCAAGUAAGUUUUUUAAGACAGUGGGAAUGCAUGGAGGUUAGUAUUACUUUUUAGUUUAGCACAGAUGCUUUGUGGAUCCUUCCAUAAAUAACAUUCAGGCCGGUAUUUAUUUUAAAGUAUUUUUCCAAUUUGCAUUGCGCUUCUUCAUACUUGCUUCAAAUUCAUGUUUCUUGGAAAGAUACCUCCUGUUAGCUACGCUGACUAACAGACACCGAGUGCCCAUGUGUAGGGCUGACCAACAGUUCCCACAUGGAACGUAAAAGGUACCAGCUGGCGUGAAGAAUGAGCCAAGCUGUAUGAACCACGUUUUAUCCAACUGCACCAAGCCUUCUUACGGGUCACUCCCAAUUUCUGUGCAUUCCCCUUUCAUGGAAAAGAAUCUGUGAAGUCAGGUGCAUCCUCAUUCACUUCAGUCUCUAGAGUCAGUUGCCCCAGGAAAUAAAGAGGAGGCCAAAAGAGACACUCAUGCACGAUGUUUUCAGCUAUUUUCGUUACCCUUAAUACCCAAACAAGAUAAAUAAACAAGGUAUUUACUGCAUUUGACAA